rnacentral:rRNA from 1 species
GACGAACGCUGGCGGCGUGCCUAAUACAUGCAAGUCGAGCGCAGGAAACUGACGGAACUCUUCGGAGGGAAGGCAGCGGAAUGAGCGGCGGACGGGUGAGUAACACGUAAGGAACCUGCCUCAAGGAUUGGGAUAACUCCGAGAAAUCGGAGCUAAUACCGGAUAGUUCAUCGGACCGCAUGGUCCGAUGAUGAAAGGCGCUCCGGCGUCACCUUGAGAUGGCCUUGCGGUGCAUUAGCUAGUUGGUGGGGUAGCGGCCCACCAAGGCGACGAUGCAUAGCCGACCUGAGAGGGUGAUCGGCCACACUGGGACUGAGACACGGCCCAGACUCCUACGGGAGGCAGCAGUAGGGAAUCUUCCACAAUGGACGAAAGUCUGAUGGAGCAACGCCGCGUGAGUGAUGAAGGUUUUCGGAUCGUAAAACUCUGUUGUAAGGGAAGAACACGUACGAGAGGGAAUGCUCGUACCUUGACGGUACCUUACGAGAAAGCCACGGCUAACUACGUGCCAGCCGCCGCGGUAAAAC